rnacentral:rRNA from 1 species
UACGAAGGGGGCUAGCGUUGCUCGGAAUCACUGGGCGUAAAGGGCGCGUAGGCGGCCGAUCAAGUCAGGGGUGAAAGCCUGUGGCUCAACCACAGAAUUGCCUUUGAUACUGUUCGGCUCGAGACCGGAAGAGGUAAGUGGAACUGCGAGUGUAGAGGUGAAAUUCGUAGAUAUUCGCAAGAACACCAGUGGCGAAGGCGGCUCACUGGCCCGGUACUGACGCUGAGGUGCGAAAGCGUGGGGAGCAACAG